GUUCUCGAUUUGGUUCACACACACACACGUGCACAAUACAAACACACGUAAGCACACAUCGCUCCCCACCCCUGCCCCCUUCCCCCUUACGUUUGCCAUCCCUGCUCGGGUGUGUGCUGCAUUGUUUCUCCCCUCCCCUCCCCCCAAAAAAAAAACACACGCCAACUGCAGCACGCACAGAGUUACCGGCCGCGCUCAUCCGCUCUCCGGAAAGUGGCCGCUCAUCGACGAAGCUGAUAAACGAAGUGCAGCCACAAUGGGAAAGCCAAAGUACCUCAAAAAGAAGCAGGCCGCCGCCGCCGCAGGCUCCGAGGAAGGCGCGGACAAGGACGUGGGUGACAACACUGAGAGCACAAACGGUUCGCCGACGACGGCGAACGCGCUUGGCAAGAAGUCGGAAGCGGCCAAGGAGGAGCCGCACAGCUCCGGAGCCAUGGUUUCCUUUGCCAACCCCGUCUACCGCCAAGGCGUGAACGACAUACUCGUCGAGAAGCUUGACAUCAGCUAUCAGGGCAACGCCAUCCUGGAGAACGCGACGCUCAACCUCGUGAGCGGGCACCGCUACGGCCUCGUGGGCCCAAACGGGUGCGGCAAAUCGACGUUGCUGCGCGUGCUGGGCUGCCAUGAGAUUCCCUUCCCGUCGCACGUGGACCGCUACUACGUUUCCCAAGAGGUGGAGGCCUCCGACAUGUCCGCGCUGGACGCCGUGCUCGCCGUCGACAAGGAGCGCGAGAAACUCGAGUCGGAGAUGGAGGAUCUGGCGCUCGGUGACCAGGAGGACCCGCACGUGCUGAGCCGUCUGGAUGACAUCUACAAGCGUCUCGACGAGCUCGACGCCGACACGGCGGCCGCGCGCGCUGGCAAGAUUUUGUUCGGUCUCGGCUUUACGAAGGAGAUGCAGCGGCGCCCGACGAAGGCGUUCUCCGGCGGUUGGCGUAUGCGCAUCUCGCUGGCGCAGGCGCUGUUCAUCAACCCCACCGUGCUACUGCUGGAUGAGCCGACGAACCACCUAGAUAUCGAGGCCGUUGUGUGGCUCGAGAACUACCUCAGCAAGUUCAAGAAGACGCUCUUCAUGGUGUCACACUCGCAAGACUUCAUGAACAACGUCUGCACGGACAUCUGCCACAUGCACCUGAAGAAGCUUAACUGCUACGACGGCAACUACGACCAGUAUUGCAUCACCCGGGAAGAGAAGGAAAGCAACCAGAUGAAGAAGUACCAAUGGGAGCAGAACCAGAUCAAGAACAUGAAGGAUUACAUUGCUCGCUUCGGUCACGGUAGUGCCAAGCUCGCCCGUCAGGCGCAGUCCAAGGAGAAGACGCUGGCGAAGAUGACCCGCGGCGGUCUCACGGACGCGGUCGUCAAGGACAGCCGCAUCAACUUCGAGUUCCCGUGCGCCGGCCCGCUGCCACCGCCGAUGCUGCAAUUCCGAGAGGUCUCCUUCAACUACCCGGGUCGCCCGUCCCUCUUCACGAACCUCGAUCUCGGCGUCAACAUGGAUUCCCGCAUAUGUCUCGUUGGCCCCAACGGUGCUGGUAAGACGACUCUGACGAAGCUCAUGUGCCGCGAGCUGGAGCCGACCGCCGGGUACGUAGCGAAGAACGCGCACUGCGUCAUGGCCCGCUUCCACCAGCACUUUGUGGACCAAAUCAACAUGGAUCUGACGCCGCUGGAGUGGAUGUCGCAGGAAUACCCGGAGGUGACGCAGCCGCCGAUUUUGCGCAGUGCCCUGGGCCGCUUUGGCGUGUCUGGCAAAGCGCAGAUGACGCCGAUGAAGACGCUCUCGGACGGGCAGAAGUCGCGUGUGGUGUUCGCGUGGAUGGCAUACAAGCGCCCGCACUUUAUGAUUCUCGAUGAGCCGACGAACCACCUGGACAUCGAGUCCAUCGACGCCCUCGCCGACGCCAUCAACAGCUUCGAGGGUGCCGUCGUGGUCGUCUCGCACGACCUGCGGCUCCUGGCGCAGAUCGCCGAUGAAAUCUGGAUCGUUGAGAAGGGCGAAGCAAAGCGCUUUAAUGGCGACAUUGCCGACUACAAGGAGCACGUGCAAAAUGAGGUGAGCCGCAUGAUGCAGAGCUACGCGGCCUCGCUGUAACGACAAGGGCAGCGCGAAACGAAGGCGGCACCGCGCACUCACGAGGACGCGGUGCAGUUUCUGGUGUGCUGUCUUCGCCGCCCUUCUCUUUUUGCCAUCACGAGCCGGGUAUGGCGGGGAGGAGAGAGGCAGGAGAAGGCGCCGCGUGUCGCGUGAAGCGCGGUGCGCUGAGUCUGUCGAUUCCCUUGUUUCUUUCUCGCACGCGCGCAACAAACCGUGAGCCACCGCGCCAAGGAGGAGGGCGAGGCUCUUUUUGCCCCUUUGCCGGGAUACCCUUCCUUUCUCGCCAGCCCUGUACUUGAGGAGGGGUGGGGCGCAGAGGCCAAGUUCACGGUAACUUGUCGUGUGAGUCGCCUAAAAGGUUGGCGCAGUGUAGCAAGGCUGGGCGCGGGUUUGGAAGAGGAGGGGGCAAUGGAGCGAAGAGAAACCUGCUUUACCAGUGUUCCCGACGCACCUCAACGCCCCCUCUACCUUGCUUGCGCUCCGAUGCGCCACUCGCCCAGCGCACUCCCUCUUGCCCGUGCCACGCGACAAGCUUUAUAACUCUUCUUCUGUGUCCGUCUCGCUCGCUCGCUCUCUAUUCAUUGUCUCCACUCAACUACCGCCUUCCUCGAGGUGAUGGUGCGCGUGCGUCUUUGUUGCGUAACGAAACAGCGCCGUUGUCGCGCUCCUUUUCUUGUGUGUGUGCGCUCCGAGAAGGGUGGGAGGGGGGGGAGAAAGAGCGGAGUAGUCUAGGAAGGAGGGCACAUUGUGCGCGUGUCGAAGUGCAUAACGGGUGGCAGGAAGAGCAGUGAGGAUGGGCAGCCAAAAAGAUGAUAAGUCCUCCCUCCCUCUCCCUGUUUCACGGCGACACGCUGGGGAGGGGGGAAGGGGGCACAGGGAGGCAAUGCGCGGUGUGCUGUAACCAGAGAAUGCCCUCACACUCUUUCGUCUUAUCGCAUGCUCGGCAGCGGUGUCGUGCGAAGGGUGUAGUGGGGUCGGGGUGCAUCCGUGCGCGUCGAUUGUUUUUCAAUUCUUUGGAAACCAAAGGGCGCUCUUCGCCUGACAUGUUUGGAGCUUCGUCGCCCGCUCCCCCCCCCCUCCACCACCCCUCUCUCGCCCCUCCCCUUCACGAGCGAGGGACUGCUCUUCUCGCAAAGGGGAGGGAAGGGGGGAGGUGGAUAUCCCUGUCACCGUUGUUGUUUUCGUUUUGGUUGUGACGUUUCUUGUUUGCUGUUGUGUAUUUGUAUGUGACUCGUUAUGUUAAGUGCUCGUUCCCUCUGUGUGUGUGUGUGUGUUUUCUCUCCUGUUGUCCGCCCCCUCCUUCACCACCAUCACGCCGACCCCCGCGUGCCACGUGCACCUCCGGUGUUUCAGUGAACACAAGCACGAAGAGAAAGAAGAGAAACACCUGCGCGCGUGUGCGCGUGUGUUUGCGGCUCCUGGUCGUCGUCUCUACGAGAAUGUAUCGUGUACUCGUGCGAGCGUGGUGUUGGAUGGAGAGGAUUUGAAGAACAAGGUGUCGAGAUGUUGUGUGACAUCCACGCCUUUUAGUGCGUUCCUCCCCCCCCCCAUUCCUUCUUCCCUCCUUUCCUACCCGACAGCCUCGCUUCGCGACAGCGACGAGAGAGACGCCAAGAUAUGACGGUGCACGCAGCAUGUCCCGAAGCGAAGGCGACGCCAUCUAAGGACGCGUGAAACGACU
rnacentral:misc_RNA from 1 species